rnacentral:rRNA from 1 species
GAUGAACGCUGGCGGCGUGCCUAAUACAUGCAAGUCGAGCGAACAGACGCGGAGCUUGCUCCUCUGUCGUUAGCGGCGGACGGGUGAGUCACACGUGGAUAACCUACCUAUAAGACUGGGAUAACUUCGGGAAACCGGAGCUAAUACCGGAUAAUAUAUUGAACCGCAUGGUUCAAUAGUGAAAGACGGUUUUGCUGUCACUUAUAGAUGGAUCCGCGCCGCAUUAGCUAGUUGGUAAGGUAACGGCUUAUCACGGCGACGAUGCGUAGCCGACCUGAGAGGGUGAUCGGCCACACUGGAACUGAGACACGGUCCAGACUCCUACGGGAGGCAGCAGUAGGGAAUCUUCCGCAAUGGGCGAAAGCCUGACGGAGCAACGCCGCGUGAGUGAUGAAGGUCUUCGGAUCGUAAAACUCUGUUAUUAGGGAAGAACAAAUGUGUAAGUAACUAUGCACGUCUUGACGGUACCUAAUCAGAAAGCCACGGCUAACUACGUG